CGACCUGGGGCUGUCUACCAUGCNAGUCGUACGGAGAGUGGGGCGACUCACUCUCAGUGGCAAACGGGCGAGUAACACGUGAAUAACCUGCCUUUGAGAAGGGGAUAACUGUCCGAAAGGAUAGCUAAUACCCUAUAUUGCCUUUUGUCACUAAGGCAAAAGGUGAAAGCGAGGCUGUCAAAGGCUUCGGCUCAAAGAGGGGUUCGCGUCCUAUCAGGUAGUUGGUGGGGUAAUGGCCUACCAAGCCAAUGACGGGUAGCUGGUCUUAGAGGAUAAUCAGCCACAGUGGGACUGAGACACGGCCCGCACCCCUACGGGGGGCAGCAGUGGGGAAUCGUGGGCAAUGGGCGCAAGCCUGACCCCGCAAUGCCGCGUGAGGGAAGAAGCCCUUCGGGGUGUAAACCUCUGUCAGAUGGGAAGAUGGGACUAGGGGCUAAUACCUCCUAGUCUUGACGGUACCAUCAGAGGAAGGGACGGCUAACUACGUGCCAGCAGCCGCGGUAAU
rnacentral:rRNA from 1 species